rnacentral:rRNA from 1 species
GACGAACGCUGGCGGCGUGCUUAACACAUGCAAGUCGAACGGAAAGGCCCUGCUUUUUCGGGGUGCCCGCGGGGCAAGGGGGUGAGAAACCCGGGAGUAACCCGCCUUGUACUUUGGAAUAACUUGAGAAAACUGGGGAUAAUACCGAAUAGCAGCGCCUGAUGCAGGGGGGGGGUUGGAAAGUUUCGGCGGUUGGGGCUGGAGUCCCGGCUAAUCAGCUGGUUGGGGGGGUAGUGGCUUACCAAGCCUUUGACGGCUAGCCGGCCUGAGAGGGUGACCGGCCACAUUGGGACUGAGAGACGGCCCAGACUCCUACGGGAGGCAGCAGUGGGGAAUAUUGCACAAUGGGCGGAAGCCUGAUGCAGCAACGCCGCGUGCGGGAUGACGGCCUUCGGGUUGUAAACCGCUUUCGCCUGUGACGAAGCGUGAGUGACGGUAAUGGGUAAAGAAGCACCGGCUAACUACGUG